CAGCCACCCCGUUGGACCAUUAGGUGACCUUGAGUAAAGUGGCCGACUGCAAAGGAGAGUGGAAGCGGACAAGAUCCCACGGAAUCAGCAUACCAGCUCAGAUACUCAGUCAUUCCAUAAACAGCCUUCCCUGACUUACCCAAGCUGGACCAGGACCCCUCCAGAAACCCGCAGGCCCCAGGCUUCUCCUUUCUCAGUGUGCCAGUGUCCGUCUCCUCCCCCGGUCCAUCUACCCCUUCAGGGCAGGGACGAAGUACUGGACCUUCUACAACCCCAUGUGAAGGCUCUCUGGCCGGAGGACUGCCUGCUCAGGACGUAGCACAAUGCCCGGCUUCCCGUCCAGCAUGGAACCCAAUGUGGGGCUUGAAUUCAUGACCCUGAGAUCAAGACCUGAGCUGAGAUCAAGAGUCAGAUGCUUAACCGACAGAGCCACCCAGGCGCCCCUCAAAUCACGUUUGAGGUACACUAGUGAGGUUCAGUAUGUAAAGGAAACCUGUUAGGAAAUCUUUUAUAAAGCAAGUUCAUUGAA